AGUGAACGCUGGCGGUAGGCCUAACACAUGCAAGUCGAACGGCAGCACAGUAAGAGCUUGCUCUUACGGGUGGCGAGUGGCGGACGGGUGAGGAAUACAUCGGAAUCUACUUUUUCGUGGGGGAUAACGUAGGGAAACUUACGCUAAUACCGCAUACGACCUACGGGUGAAAGCAGGGGAUCUUCGGACCUUGCGCGAUUGAAUGAGACGAGGUCGGAUUAGCUAGUUGGCGGGGUAAAGGCCCACCAAGGCGACGAUCCGUAGCUGGUCUGAGAGGAUGAUCAGCCACACUGGAACUGAGACACGGUCCAGACUCCUACGGGAGGCAGCAGUAGGGAAUAUUGGACAAUGGGCGCAAGCCUGAUCCAGCCAUACCGCGUGAGUGAUGAAGGCCUUCGGGUUGUAAAGCCCUGUUGUUGGGAAAGAAAAGCAGCAGGUUAAUACCCCGCUGUUCUGACGGUACCCAAAGAAUAAGCACCGGCUAACUUCGUG
rnacentral:rRNA from 1 species